rnacentral:rRNA from 1 species
AGGAUGAACGCUAGCGGCAGGCUUAAUACAUGCAAGUCGAGGGGCAGCAGGUGUAGCAAUACAUGCUGGCGACCGGCAAACGGGUGCGGAACACGUACAGAACCUUCCUUUAAGUGGGGGAUAGCCCAGGGAAACUUGGAUUAAUACCCCUUAAUAUUAUGUGAUGGCAUCAUUAUAUAAUUAAAGCUCCGGCGCUUAAAGAU